GGCUAUGCCUCAAUUGAUAAAGUGAACUAAUUGCCUACUUCAAAAGCAGUUUUGCAUGAAAGUCAACAUCUAAUUGGAAUUUACAAUGCCCGAUAUUUCUACACAUCUGCCACAAAUUUUAUGGAAAACAAUAUUUAUAGAAACUGAACAUACCUUGGUUAAACGUAUAUGAAAUGGGUAACCAUCCUCGAAGAACAUCAACCAGCUGUCGGCAAUGUGCAGGUGGACUGAGGAAUUUUCCGGUGUGUCCUUUAUGGACUGUACUCCGUCUUAGCACUAUCCUCAAGUUUUACCCGAGAGGCCACACUUCAGUUGGACCGUCUUCCAUAUAUCUACUGACUUCAUAUAAACGAAAGUGUCGCUGAUCUGCACUACCAGCUCGUUCAACGUUACUGACCACAAAGUAAUCCGACAAUCAGAUCGGACCUGGUCAUGUUAGAAUCCAGAGGUAGGAAAUGAACAUACAAUCGACUCCGCAUCGAUGCAUGACCUCGCCCGGAACGCGUCAAGAAUUAACAAUGGAAGAAAAUACUACAGACGUGUUUAUUAACAAUAAAGUUAUUUUUGUUUUUAUGAAAUAGCGAUUGAAUAAAAAUAUUAGGUAUAUGAGUUUUAUUUAGAGAUGAAA